rnacentral:rRNA from 1 species
UACGUAGGGGGCAAGCGUUGUCCGGAUUUAUUGGGCGUAAAGAGCGUGUAGGCGGCCGUGUAGGUCCGUUGUGAAAACUCGAGGCUCAACCUCGAGACGUCGAUGGAAACCACACGGCUAGAGUCCGGAAGAGGAGAGUGGAAUUCCUGGUGUAGCGGUGAAAUGCGCAGAUAUCAGGAGGAACACCGGUGGCGAAGGCGGUUCUCUGGGCAUUACCUGACGCUGAGGAGCGAAAGUGUGGGGAGCGAACAGG